ACCACUGAGCUAAAUCCCCAGCCCCCUGUGAUGACCUCUUAAACUGGGAAAUAAGAAGGUGUCUUUGCUUCUUUGCAAUAGUCUCAGGGUCUCCGUCUGUCUACCUGUGGUAAUAACUGAGUGAUGACAUCACCAAGGAUUUUGCAUUCUUAAGACUGCAGGUAUUUUUCCAGACUGGGCUUUGCAGUAAACCUGCCUCAGGGCCUUACUGUAACACCCUUCACAGAUGAGCACCCUGAGGCCUAGGCAGGUCAAAGGCUACGACUCAAAAACAGGGCUCUGGCUCGCCCCUCUAUACUUAUGCCAGUCGCGUGGGGGAGUGUAGUUCUCAAAGCCAACCCUGGUUUGUGGCCUGGAGCUGGGGCACCCAAGCCACACACACCCUCUGGGCCCUGGCUGGGCCAGAUGUGUCCGCCAGAGGCCACCAGGGGGCGCUGCAAUGCCGGCGACUCCCGGGUGAGGUCCACGCCUGUUCCACGGACCCAGCCUCAGCUCCUGGAGCCGGCAACUUGAGGCGGACAGGGCAGAAGCUGGGAGAUCGCUUGGCCCCGGGCAGCGCAGACCUCAGCCGCAGCUCAAGCCCUGGUCCAGGCAGGCUUCUCGACGCUCGGGGAGUCGGGGUACUGAGCCUCGGAGUCAGGGGUGCUGCGCCCCGGGCAGACCUCCUUCCUCUUUUCCAGUCAUAGGCUCCGUAUGUGAACUCGUUUGCAUCUCUGCGGGCUUUAAAUGUUGCACAACUCCACGGAAGAAGAAACUCUGCCACAAGGCCCGUUCCUAUUGCAAAGCCCCAUGUCUUUGAGAUGUCUGUUUCUACUCCACCACUCUCGGCUGAGGCCAUGUGAAAGCUUAUGUGAGCACCUUGCAUCACAGGAUAAACACGAGGCUGCUCUCUGUCCCUUCAGGACGAAGGAGCGGUGGGGAAGUCACAGGACACUCACCUGAGGAUCCAUCCACUCCCACCACCCAGGUCCAGCAGCAGUGAGUGACCAGAAGCAGGCCAUUGCCAGGUAUCCUUGAAGGGCAGGGAGUCUGUCCAGCCACGCCCAGGAAAGCACGCCCGUCCUGGAGCAUGUUCGGGUGUGGCCUUGGAAGAUAUGCAACUGAGAGCAGAGGUCAGAACAGAACCAGAUCAGAAGGGCUUUGCUUGGCCAGGCCGUUUGGCUCUGCAGCACACCUGGAUCCCAUUCCUAGACUGUCCGGCUCUGAUUGGUGCCCACUGCAGGCUCCGCCUCCAGCUCUUUGGAUGAGAAAAUAUGGACGCCUGUGUUUUAAGAACUGAAACUGUCCUGGGACCUCGGCCCACUGGAGUUUGCUGCCACAUUUAAGGUGGUUCCUCCCAGCUCCGUUAAUUCCAUCUAGAGAGUACCUCACCCACACGGACAGGUUUGUCUCCCAGAACCCCAGCAGGAGCUCCUGCAGGGAGAGAGAAGGCACACUGGUGAGGAAGCUUGCUUCUUUCUCAGCUGUAGCUGGGGCCAAGCCUACAGCCUCUUGUCAGUAAGUACACCCAGGGCUGCAGAGAAAGGCCCCAUCAUUGGGAAAGAGAAGGGGCUUUCAAGUCUUUCACUUUCCUGUCUGUCAUUGUUCUUAAAGUUUCAGGGUAAAACUAGGGCCUAAUGCAGCCACGAAACACCCGAGCUGUUCAAGGCAGGCCUUGUGCAAAACGCUGCAGGAUUUCGGACAGGAAGUUGUGUGGCUGUGUGGGCGUGAGGACCAGCUUCCUCCCUCUCUGACACUUUCUACGCUUUGGGGACCUUGCUCAGCAGUCUCCCCUCCCCCAAGCCCAGCAGACCCUCCUGAGGCCUCACACAGCCUCUGCCCCAGCAAGAGUGAAAACAGCAGGGUGAAUCCCAUCCUCUCUCAUCCCUGUCCCUCAUCUCCCCUAGACACGUGACCAUUUCUGACACCACACAGGACUUUCACUUCUUCAGAGUAGAAGCACUUGUAGAGUGUCUGGUUUUCGGAAUACUUGUCCUACCCUGCUUUCUCAGAGGAGGCUUGAUCUUGUUAUCCUUGUCUGGGUUCCUUGCCUCUGAAAGCAUAGUUUCUAGGUAACAAGCAGGGGCGGUCUGUAUACCCUGUAGCUACGGAGGGAGUCUCAGGAGUUCAGAAGCUAAUUUGAAUAGAGUUAUUGAUAGUGGAUAGAGCAAUUUGCAUACUGGAACUAAGUGGGUGGCUCUAGGAUGUUUAGGAAAUGACCCACAGAGUCUGUAGAUUCUGGGGCUCCAAAUCCAUUUCUCACAGAUGGGCUACCCUUAACUGCAGUCCCUGCCAACAUUCUGCUACAAGAACAUGUCAGAUUCAGAUUCCAGUAGCAGGAGCCUGCCCUGAUCAGCUGCUGGGAAGGCACUGUGGCCCAACUUGAAGAACUCUUGAAUUAGUGCCUCCCUCUCCUGGAACCUGAGAGCCUUGAUCUACAAACUGAAGGGCAGAAGGCAUGACUUUAACGCUUCACGGACUUAAAAUGCUGUAUCCUGUGAUUCUCCCAGCAGACGUAAACCUUGUCAUCUAACAGCAGCCUUCUUCAGCCUCAGAAAGGAACUGUGCAAUUUUAGCCCUUGCAUGUUAAGAGACCAGGAGGAGGGGUGCCUUCCAAGGCAGAGGGGCUUGCAGAGUAGCCAAUAUCAAGCCCUUCGUCCAGGAAGGGCUACAGUCUAUUCUCUUUCUU
rnacentral:sRNA from 1 species